UCCCUAGGGAUUCAAGAAAAGUUGAUGGCGCCACAGGACAACUCUUAGUUGCAGGUACUUCUUCAUUUUCAGACUGAUUGGAGCUAGAUGCGUCAUUGUCUCGUGGCAAUGAAAUCAUCAGGUUGUCCACUGCUGAGAGAUAGCUAUCCCCACGACGCUUUAACUUAUCCCGAGCAGCAGCACUUUUUAAAGAAGACAAACUUCUAGGCGGGCCCUCUUUAAAAGAACUUGAUCUUGGACUGAGGCUUCCCUGAUAAGAUGCAUUGGCUUUCAUAGCCUGGCUACCAAUGUGUCGGGAACGCAGAGGCUUAGAUGAUAUAGAUGCCGCAUCAGAGGGGUCAAGAUUGGUGCCUGAAGAAGAGGCAGGAAUCCAAGCUACACUUUCUCGGGUGUUAUUUCCCAGAAUAUAGGAGUGGAGGUGAAUCGCAAGGCAAUCAAGUCGUGACUCACUAAUCCCAGUUAAUUCUGCAAUAGAUGGUCUCCUCUUGAGUAUAUCCUUCAUUUUGGCAAUCAAUUCAAUUCCCAAGAGCUUUGAUUUCUCGGAGCACCAGAAAAAAUAAUCUCUACCAUCUGCUAUCUUUAUAUGGAAAGAUCGCCCAGAACUGUCUUCUAAGAUCUCAUCAACUGUGAUAGCAGGCCUUUCUGCUUUACUGCUUACAGUGAAUAGUCUUUCUGUAUUACCAUCAUCUCCAAUGAACAAGAGACGCAAAUCAGAUGUUGGCAACAUUGUAAGGUUUAAAAUUCCCCUUGAGGCAGUAGGACAAAGUAGGGUCCCUCGCUUGUUAAUCUUGCCAACACGAAUUGAAAGAAGAGGUAUACAGAAACAUCUAGCAAGCAU
rnacentral:misc_RNA from 1 species